rnacentral:rRNA from 1 species
UCUUUAUAUUUAAUUUUUAAAAAAUAUUAUAUAUUUUUAUUUAUUAUUAAUUUUUAAAUAUUUUAUUGGGGUGAUAAAAAAAUUAAAUGAACUUUUUAAAAAAAAACAAUAAUUAUUGAAUUUUUGAUUUUUAAUUUUAAAUUAAAAGAAUAAGU